rnacentral:misc_RNA from 1 species
UCCGGUUUGGCACCGGCAGUCUCCCAUGAGUCCCCGACAUUACUCGCUGGCAACAUGGAACAGGGGUUGCGCUCGUUGCGCCACUUAAGGCAACACCUCACGGCACGAGCUGACGACAGCCGUGCAGCACCUGUGCGGGCUCCCGAAGGAGCACCGUGUUUCCACGGUUUCACCCCACAUGUCAAACCCAGGUAAGGUUCUUCGCGUUGCGUCGAAUUAAACCACAUGCUCCGCUGCUUGUGCGGGUCCCCGUCAAUUCCUUUGAGUUUUAGCCUUGCGGCCGUACUCCCCAGGCGGGGUGCUUAAUGCGUUAGCUUCGGCACGGAGGGGGUUGAAGACCCCCCCACACCUAGCACCCAACGUUUACGGCUGGGACUAC